AAGUUGACGGAUUGAAGGUGAAAAGGGAGAUUAAACACACAUCCAAGCGUGCACGACACACAGGACAGCUAAAGCAGCCAAACACAGACUGGACUCUCACGAAGAACCAAAACUCCUCUAUUAAAAGUUACAAUUCCAUAAACAUGGAUGGCACCCUCAUGCGAAAAGCCAUGCAUGCAGACCCAGAAAACUAUGUCACCUCAAUGGCACCUGGACAAUACUGGACCUGGGGUACUCACAUGAGAGGCAUGAAAGAUUAUAAAAUGUCUCCUUCACCCAGUGGGAUCCCCUCUCGCCCCUGGACUCCUCGGUGUACACCUCCUCCCCAGCAGCAGCAGCCUUCAAUCCCCUCCCACCCGCACCCACACCCACCACCCGAUUACCACCACAAUGUGUACAUCCCUGGGACGCCAUCAGGCUUUUGCACCCUGAGGCCCGCCGCACAGCGAAGCGACCUAGAUGUCCACAAUUCAUUCUCAACUUUUGGCAAGAAGCGACGUCUCCAGAUGUCCCCCCAGGGAGAGACUGCGAUCAUAAAUAAUGACCUGUACAAUGACUGACUUUUCAAUAACUGCCCUAGUGGAUGAUUAAAAAGAUGGAUAACCUCAUAUGAAAACAGAGGUAGAGCCCAUCCAGUACAUAAAUUAAUGAACAUAUGAUUUAUAAGUGGUAUGAAAAUAGAAAGGGAAAGAGGAAUAAUGAAUGGACAAUCUGUUUUGAAGAAGGAUAAUGAAGGUCUGAUGGCUAUUUAUUUGACAUGCCACUGCAACAUUGUCAGCAUAUGUGUCUGUUUUUAUUAUUAGAAUUAUCAUUAUUAUUAUUUAGACAAUCAAACUGGAGCAGCAGUUACAUCCAAAAUAGUUUUCGAAAAAGCAUUCGUGGACAAUAAUUUUGCACAUCUUUAUGAAUUUAUAUUUUUUGGUUACAUGAAAAAGAAGACGUGCUUUUCCUUUUUGUAUCUUUGUUUGCUAACAGAGCUUGUGUGAAUAUGACAAACAGUAAGUAUGUAUAUGCAAGCUGCACCAUGAAGCAGACUACUGUAAUGGCAGGGGAGGGUUCCUUCCUUUACACAUGUACUGUAUACAUUUAUGAAAAUAAAG
ensembl:lncRNA